rnacentral:rRNA from 1 species
ACACCUGCAGCUCAAGUGGUGGCCGCUAUUAUUGGGCCUAAAACGUCCGUAGCCGGUUUAGUAAAUGCUUGGGUAAAUUGUGUAGCUUAACUAUACGAAUACCGGGUAGACUGCUAAACUUGGGACCGGGAGAGGCUAGAGGUACUCCUAGGGUAGAGGUGAAAUUCUGUAAUCCUAGGGGGACCACCAGUGGCGAAGGCGUCUAGCUAGAACGGGUCUGACGGUGAGGGACGAAGCCCUGGGGCGCAAACCGGAUUAGAUACCCCAGUAGUCC